UAACCCUGCAGAGAUUCGAAUGCCCUUUAGAGAUUACGAAUCAUUUUUACUUAUCUCAGUCUUAAAAACCCUCCAAGGCAGGUAUCAGUAUUCUUACUUUAUAUAGGAGGAUGUUAAAGCUCACUCAUAGUUAGCAAAGACAGGACUAGCAUCUAAGGCUUUCACCCAAGCCCAAUGUUUUCUGGAUGUAGAAUUUAGCACUCAUCUCUUACACAAUUCUUUCACCUGGCAGAAGUCUGAAGCUGGGACAAGUAAAUUUUGGUUGGUGCCCUAAGAAGAGCCACAUCUGGAUUGUGGAAUAAGGACAAGAAGGAAGGGCCAAGCAAGAAGACCAAAGAGCCUGUCUCUGCAGAGCUGGGAAGCGGGGCAGCUGCCUGAUCCUGAUGUGGAGCCAAGAGACCGCACUACACGCUUGUGGGAAAGACCUUGAGCUGGGAUCUGGAGCCCCAGGUUUCAGGCCAACUGGGCUACUGAGUCGCCUAGAGCACAUCACGCUUGUCAGGGCAUCAUUUUCUCUCUGUAUGAAAAGGAUUUGGGGGAUCUGACAUCUAAGAUACUCUCAGGCUCUAACAAGCUUGAGUCAUCUUUGGGGGUCAGUAGGUCUGCGUGUGCUUCCAUGUGACAAUGAGAGCUAAAUAAACGUCAGCUCCUUCCAGCCUCAUCAACAUCAUCAUCUCGGCUGUGACUCAGAUCAUCCACACAUGAUGAGUAAACAGUGCCCUUUGCACUGUGCUGCAUGAAGCCGAGCGUGGGGGCGGUGGUCACAGUCGAGGCUGCCUGCCUGCCUCCCUGGGUUGCAGAUUUAUGGCAUGGCAGUCCUUGUCGAAAAGACAUCUGGAGGGCCUGGCUCUACCUAUUUUUCUCCUACCCAGCUCAGAGGUACUUUUGCCCAGUCACUCCUCAAAUAAUCCAAGCUCCUCACACUGCUGUUUCCAAGUUUUGAAACACAUUAUGGCAGGCCACCAGUUCCAUUUUAUUAGCAAAUAGAUGAGUCACAGGGCCAUUUCCUUUGGAUUUUUAAGUAAGAUUUCCACUUCUACCUCACUGUCUUGUCUGGCCUGAUGUUUACAAAGAGAGAGGUUGCUACUUUCAAAUACAUGUGAUUUUUAGUCAAAUAAAUCCUAACUGCUUGAGCUGCACCACCUCCAACACUGUUCCUUGCCCAUUUCCUGAUGUCAUGCAUUUGCCCUUCCUCUGUGUCUGUGGGUAUGCCAGAGAAGUAGGAGUUCCCCCAUUAGAUACUUAUUUUAGAAUAUCUGCCAUCUGGAUGGGAUGAAGACAAUGUGGCGUAUUGCCACAAUGGAAUACUAUUCAGUCAUCAAAGAGAACAAAA
rnacentral:lncRNA from 10 species